ensembl:lncRNA
CUUUAUGCCUGCGCUGCUCGGAGUUACUGUAAUUGUUCUGGCACCACUCCCAGAGCUGAGCUAAGGUCAGCGAGAAACCUGUGAAUUAAUAACUGUGGAGCUGAAGUGAUCUCUAUCCAGGAAUCACGUUGUACAUACGUGAAGCUUUAGAGCAGUUGUACCGCAGCUUUGCCACGAGAUGUUUAAAGCUGUUGAACUGCGGUGUGAACAAAUGGCGUAGCCCUUCAGAGAUGUUGGAGCCGAUUCUGAUCUCGCCAUCGCAGGAGUGCCACGAACUGGAACAGGGCAGUCCAAAGGCCACUGAAGAAGUCCACGAAUCUUCCUCAUUGCCUGCAGUAAGCUUUGGAUCAGGCCCCAGUGAGCCAGCAAGAACGUGCCGUUCAGCGUGCUAUAACAAGUCCACCGGCAUGUGCUGAUAGCUGCAGGAGAGCUGUUAGAAGUACACCCCUAAAAAUGAGGAAGAUCUUGGCUGAGGAGGCAGCAGCUUCUGGCCCAGCCCUCACCCCCCACACAACGCGUGAAACACACCGGAGCCUCUUAAAUUAGGGAACAGAGCAGCCCUGCACCCAUUCUUUCCUCCAUGCGAUAUCACAGGAAAGCUGGAGAGUAUUGUAUUACUCUUAAUACACUUUGUGAUCGUGUAAGUCUCCCAAAUCCCACUGCCAGUAAGCUCUGGUGAUUAAACAGCUUACUGAAGGGAAACCAUAGCUAAUACUUUCUACCCUUAUCAAAGUGUAUUGCUAAUGAGGACUGGGAAAACUCUCAGUGUUAAUACAACAUCUGUAGAUUAACAUUAGCUUACUCGUGCUUUCACAGUCAAUGGCUAAAAUUCAGUCAAUCACUUGGAUUCACGUCACACUUCUAAUUGGUGUUACGGUACAUCAGUCUCAGUAUUUCCCCAGCAGAAGUACACCGGGAGUGGAAAAGGCAACAUCAAGAGCUGGAGGCCAAAGAAGAAAUUUGCAACAAGUUGCUUGGACAUCAUGAUUUAGGAACCUUACAGGAGGUCUGGGAACAGAGGUUCGGGGCUCCUAAUCAUAGAAUCAUGGAAUCAUUACGUUUGGAAAGACCACUAAGAUCACCUAGUCCAACCCUCAGCUCAUCCCCACCAUGCCCGCUGAGCCCCAUUGCAUCAUGCAGUGCAACACCUAUUCUUUUCUUGAAAACCUCCAAGGACUGUGACCCCACCACCUCCUUGGGCAGCCCGUUCCUUCUUCCUUAUGGAAAAUGGAAAAACAGAAAUCAAUGAAGGACGUGACAGAAAAGGAUAAGCAGCAUGCAUCUGAUGAUGAGAAGGAGGGAAGCAUGGUAGGGCGAGAGACAAAGUGCAGCUGGCACAUUAAAAAGCAAUCAGAGGAAAAGAAACCAGUAGUUCAACUGAACAACCACCAGUGUCUUUAAUUCUAUCUAGUUUUACUGUGGGUGCAUGCUGUGCAACACUGCUUUGAAAUCUCUGAGAAACAGAUGUAGUUAACAACUCUUCCGCAGUGUAGAAGGGAAGAAAUUCUGUACUAAUUGACAAAGGAGUAAGAAGAUUCUUUUUAAAGAAGGGAGAAUAGUUUCAGUGUGCCCUCCAGGACACUAUAGGAUGGUCUCAGAUUCAAGUACAAACUCAUCUGCUACAUGGAAGCCUUGAACUCCACAAAGAUAAAUCCGUCACACAUCAGUAAAUGCAGAAAUGACAGAGAGAGCAAGACAUCCCUUAGCAACCCAACUGCUUUCCAUGCCUGGAAGACUGGCUCCUGUCAGCACAAGUAACAUAGAUGACCCAGAGCAUGUUCUCUCACCAACACAAGUAAGCUGCAUACCAAAAAGUCUGCCCUUCCCAGAAGCAUCUCUGUAAAGAGAAUGGAUGUGAACACAGACUCUGCGAGCCUAUGCCAUCUUCUGUCCCAGAUAACUCCAGAAUACUCCCAGCUCUGCAGAGCAGAGUUUUCUUGAAAGAAAUUGGGAAAAGAACCGAGACUGCCAGAGGAUGGAAACCAAAUUAAUUUCUGAAGAAACAGGUUCAUCUCUUACUGGCAUCUGCAGAGUUGCGUCAGCUUGUUGCGGAUAUGGAUUAGGCCUUGUGCUUCUGAGAAUCCAGCUUUGUUUCAAUUCUUCUGAGCACUUCCUUCUUUCCUUCUGACUGCACUUCAGUUUUGAUCCAAGUAUCAAAGAGGCUCAUGCAGCAGCUAACUUGCACCAAACACAGCAUAAAUUUCUACUGACGGCUUACCUAGAUGACGUGCAGCUCAAUGGAGACCAAAAAGGGUAAGGUCUCAGCCUCUUCCCUUACUGCAGUAACAAAGCACCUGGGGGUGCUCACUUUUUUUCUGUCUCGUAAACUGGUUGCCAUGGCAAGUUACUUGUGUUGCACUGUCAGGUAGUAAAAGGAAACAAUUUGCAUCCUCUAGAAAACUCAGAAUUUUAGAACUCUGUCGCCUAUCAGUUUGCUUUCUGCCUUGACACUGCUUAUCCCUGAAGCUCGGCGAGAGAUGAGCAAGAACAACAUCCCAGCAACAGAAGUACCUGAAGGUUUAUUGAGCCUGGUGUGUCUGCAGAAGGAAUAAAUUAAGUAAUCAUGAAGAAUAUGGUGCUGUGGGAAAGCACGUCAGAAUCCCUGCUUUUCUCAGCGUGCUCUCAGAGAUAAUGAUAUGGAGAGCACACACACUGAUACAAUCUUCCUUCUGAACACUUCAAGAAAGUUUCAAUUACAGAGAGAAGGAAAACACAUCCAGCAAAACAGACCAACAGACUAUCUGAAUGUAGAGACGGCACAAAAGGCACAGAAGGAACCAGGAAGUACUCAGCAUAAUUAGGACGAGGCUGGGUGAGAUUGUGGAUAUGGCAAAGGAACAGAAGACGCAGGAAAACAACAAAAGGAACCUGACACCACUCAUCUACCCUCUGCCUACUGAGAACUUAUACCCUUCAGCUGGCCUUCGUGCAGACUUUCUUUGCUGAGAGCAAAAUUGGGAUGUAUUCAGAUAUCCCCGUGAAGCUACAAAAGUGCAGUUGUUUGCCUUGCUGGUGAUACCGAUGAUCACAAGAAGUUUCCAUGGGUUUUUUUUUGUUUUGUUUUUUUUUACAGGGCAAAAGAGAGUUGAGUUCAAGCUGGCAAUGACGUGGGUGAUCCUACUAGAGAAACCUCGAAAAAAGAUCAACAUCUCAAAACUUCUGGAGAUAGCCUUGACCUGAUGAGUGAGUUCAGUUGUUAACUAAGUUGGUGGCCUAAGUUUCAAUGUUACAAACUUGUGUUUGUAUGUUUUCACGUCACACUAACCUCCUUCUUGCAGAGGCUGAAGAGGAAAUGACAACAUCAAGGAAUUAUUUUUUGGGGGUCACAGCACUUACAGAAAUCAGUAACAUAUCUUUCCAGGGCUAAAUUUAGACUGCUGUUUUAAAACGUCACAUGAUUAUCGAUGGGAGAAGGAAGUCCGUGAGUUAUGGCCUCCUACAUGCAUGCUACAGUUUGGUGAAGAUGAUGAGUUAAAACUGAAGGCACUGGAAUGACAGAGCAGCCCUUCAACCCCACUGCAGCAGCGUGCCAACAACAAGUAGUCCUCAGGUAUCUUAUGUCCGGAUGUGAUCGUAGCAUUGAAGAAUGAGCAAGAGGCAGCUUCAGUCCAGGCUUCUGGUGUGUCCUGGUACUUGGAGGCCAGGGAGAAGUCCAAGAAGUACGAGGUUCGCCCAUAGCUUCCAUAGAAUCGGAGAAUGCAUGAGGUUGUAAAGGACCUUACAGCCCACCCAUUUCCAAUCCCCCUGCUGUAGGCAGGGCUGUCACUCAGUAGAAUAGGCUGCCCAUGGCGCCAUCCAUCCUGCCCUUGACCACCACCAGGGACGGGACACCCACAGCUGCUCUGGGCAGCCUAUGACAGUGCGUCACCGCUCUCCGAGUGCUUUGUCUACUACGCUCCUCUACUACCCUACCUAUUUGGGUCUUUUGCUCCCUGAUCGGUCCAGGGCCACUUAGGUACUGAGAAACAGAAGCUUGCUUGCAGGGUGCAAACUGCAAGAUCCCUGUAUGCUCCAGUACCUGCCUGCUCACCAGAAGGGCGAAGACAAGAUGAGACAGGCAGUGCAGAGAGGCGGUGCGCCGUGCGUACGUGUGCCUGCCUGUGGAGAGACCCAUCACCUUUGUGCGUGCCGCUGCUGCUGGCUUGCAUGGGAGAGAUGCUGUGUUUCUGCAAGCUGCUCUUCUUGGCUCCGUGGAGAACGGAGAGGUUGUUCCGAAGCUGGAGGUCCUGUUAGAAGCCAGCAAACAUUCUCAAGGUAAGCUGAAGUUUCGUCCUCUUUGUUCGGACCUGUCUGUUUGUGUUCCAGCUUAGGGGAAGUGCUCCAGCAGGUUCGUUUGUGCUUCUGCAACAGUCUGUGAGACCUGAAAAAACCUGCACGGCUUCUCGGCAGGUGUCCUCACAGCUUGCUUAAUCUGUUCCAGCCCUGAGCUCUGCAGGGCACGAGCUUUCCUUUCACCGUGUCAACGGCAGUAUCUAGAACAAUGGCUUCUAGAUCCAUUUUCAGAUUACCAGAUACCUCUCUGAUGGAAACAACCAGCAGUGGCGAUGCGGUUGAGAAUUGCAUCAGAGCGAACAGCGUUUCUGCAGCACCAGGAGCGCAGACUUUAUUUGGAGCCAUAUUCUGCAGUCCUGCCUCAAAGCUUGGGCACGCAUCAGCAGUAGUGCAGCCAGCAGGAGCGCGGUGCUCAUCGGCUCUGGUGGGGCCACACCCCGAGCACUGUGUGCAGUCUGGGGCCCCUCGCUACAAGAAAGACAUCGAGGCACUGGAGCGCGUCCAGACAAGGGAUACGAAGCCGCGAGGGGUCAGGAGCACGAGUCUGACGGGGGAGCGGCUGAGGGAACUGGGAUAGUUCAGUCUGGAGAAGAGAAGGCUCAGGGGAGCCCCGCGGCAGCGCGAGGGCCCCACCCGCGGGGCCGCCCCCGG